UACGGGGGGGCAAGCGUUGUUCGGAAUUAUUGGGCGUAAAGAGCGCGUAGGCGGUCCGAUAAGUCGGCUGUGAAAGUCAGGGGCUCAACCCUUGAAAGCCGGCCGAUACUGUCGGACUAGAGUCCGGAAGAGGCAAGUGGAAUUCCCGGUGUCAGCGGUGAAAUGCGUAGAGAUCGGGAGGAACAUCCGUGGCGAAGGCGACACGCUGGGCCGUACCUGACACUGAUGCGCGACAGCAUGGGGAGCAAACAGG
rnacentral:rRNA from 1 species